UACCACCCUUCAAAGUUCAGUUGAACUUUACGCAACCAACACUGCCAAUCGAUCUUAUCCUCUCCAUCUCCUCAAAACAACUUUACGGCAACCAAACUGCUUCAAAGUUUACCACCCUUCAAAGUUCAGUUCAAGUCGAUCUUAUCUUCUCCAUCUCCUCAAAGUUCAGUUCAACAAAUAUCACUGCCCCCCCUUCGGUUCUUCACCUAGGUCGUGCCGGAAACUAGAUUUGCAGUUCAGUUCAACAAAUAUCACCGCCCCCCUUCAGAUGAAGACGAUGAGGUUUUGAGGGCCGGCGACCGGAGACGCCGCUCACGGCGGCGGUCUCUAUCUCCGACCGGAGACGCCGCUCACGGUAAACCCUCCUGUUUGUGAUCAAUCACCUGAUACAUCUUGCAAAGUCCCCUCUGCAGGAAAUUUAAAACGAAAGGGCAGCAAGUGAAUAACAAAAAGAAAGAAGCAAGAUGGGAAUUUCUAGUUAGAAAAGUGGAAGCAGCUAAAGCUGUAUCGUCGGAUAUGUAAUUUUAUUUUGUUUAUGCUCGUACAUUUUAAACAUUUUUUUUUUUAG
rnacentral:lncRNA from 1 species